GAUGAAGAACGUAGCGAAAUGCGAUAAGUAGUGUGAAUUGCAGAAUUCAGUGAAUCAUCGAAUCUUUGAACGCACAUUGCGCCCCUUGGUAUUCCAUGGGGCAUGCCUGUUCGAGCGUCAUCUACACCCUCAAGCUCUGCUUGGUGUUGGGCGUCUGUCCCGCCUCUGCGCGCGGACUCGCCCCAAAUUCAUUGGCAGCGGUCCUUGCCUCCUCUCGCGCAGCACAUUGCGCUUCUCGAGGUGCGCGGCCCGCGUCCACGAAGCAACAUUACCGUCUUUGACCUCGGAUCAGGUAGGGAUACCCGCUGAACUUAAGCAUAUCAAUAAGCGGAGGA
rnacentral:misc_RNA from 1 species